AUUGAACGCUGGCGGCAGGCCUAAUACAUGCAAGUCGAGCGGACGAAGGGAGCUUUUUCCUGGCUUAAGUGGCGGACGGGCGGGUGAUGCCCAGGAAGAUGACCGGCCGAUGGGGCUGACGUCCGGUAACGGGAGCUGAUCUCGUACACGUUCUGAGGGUGAACGUGGGGGUUCUACGGUCAACACGCUAUCAGAUGAGCCUAGUGCGGAGUAGCGCGCUGGUGGGGUAAAGGGCUACCAAGGCGACGAUCCGUAACUGGUCUGAGUAGAUGACCAGUCACCCUGGAACUGAGACACGGUCCAGACUCCUAAGGGAGGCAGCAGUGGGGAAUAUUGGACAAUGGGCGAAAGCCUGAUCCAGCCAUGCCGCGUGUGUGAAGAAGGGCUUCGGAUUGUAAAGCACUUGUAGUUGGGAGGAAGGACAGUAAGUUAAAACCUUGCUGUUUUGACGGUACCAACAGAAUAAGCACCGGCUAACUUCGUG
rnacentral:rRNA from 1 species